UACGUAGGGCGCAAGCGUUGUCCGGAACUAUUGGGCGUAAAGAGCUCGUAGGCGGCCUGUUGCGUCCGCUGUGAAAUCCCGGGGCUCAACCCCGGGCCUGCAGUGGAUACGGGCUGGCUAGAGGCAGGCAGGGGAGAACGGAAUUCCUGGUGUAGCGGUGAAAUGCGCAGAUAUCGGGAGGAACACCGGUGGCGAAGGCGGUUCUCUGGGCCUGUACUGACGCUGAGGAGCGAAAGCGUGGGGAGCGAACAGG
rnacentral:rRNA from 1 species